CUCCCUACAUUGUGGGUAGGAGAAAAGAAAUCAGAGAAAUGUUAAUUUUAUCUCAGUGUAGUUCUCAAAUCAUCCAUUAUUUUUCAAUCUAGGCAAACCCUGGCCACAUUCUCCUACAUAUCCUGAAGAAGAGUUUCAGCCAAUGUCAUGAAGACCUUCUUCUAGGUCUUUUAACAUUGUUAAGACACUAGUUCACUAAUCUGCCUAUCCAUCUGUUACACUUCAUUUUUGCUUAAGCCUACCACCCUUUAUAGUCAUAUAUUCUAGAGGACAUCUUUGAUGUGACUUUUUACAUUUAAACAUUGGUAGAAUGCUGUAGCCUCCCUAGACACAGCACUCUAUUGCUAUUUGAUUUGUGGUGUUCUAUAACUUCUAGCCAAAUGGCAUCAUCAGUGUCAAAAAAAGUUUUUGUUUCAUAGGGAGAAGUUUCCCAAAUACAGUUUAGUCUUCUUUCAUCAUCCUAUUCAAUUCUGGAUCCAACUCACAAACCAUCCACAGAGUCUCGACAAUAAGCAUUUCUUCAUCCAUUUGUUUUUUCCUACAUGGGUUACUAAAUUGAGCUAAUUUAUUUGGUUGUACAUAUUAUUGAGAAGAUGUUCUAAUAUUCUGGGACUUGAUGAAAUCAGCACAAUGACAUCUAACAGAAAAGACUGGAAUACAACUGUCCAUAAGAAAUGACAAACUGUUUAAUUUUGGAAAAAUAUGGAAAGACCUACAUCAAGUUAUGAAGAGUGAAAAGAAUGGAACCAAGAGCAUUAUAUAUAGCAACAGAAAUAUUUUUUGAAGAAUGACUUUUCCAGUUCCAGAGAAAGAACUGAUAAACUGAAAGAAUUGACUCCAGGCCACCCCUGAAAAAAAUGGAAGAAGAGCAUGCAAAUAUCCCCCCCUUCUGAAUCAAUCCUCUCAAGGAGAAAGGUACCUUCCAACCAAGCAGAAAAUUCCACCCUGAGACUCCACUCUCUCACUAGGACCACUGUUUCAGAGAAGAACUCAACCCUGACACCUCAACUGGCCCUUGGGACUUCUCCUACCUCCCCUACCUUGACUCUUCUUGGUUACUCUUUCCCAUUCCUUUUCUAGUUACCCUUUAGGUACUGCCUUACUCCAUUAGAAUUUGCCUUGAGGGCAGAGACUGCCUUGGUUGCUACAUUUUUUUUAAUAGUAUAGUGCCUGGUUUAGAGGAAGCACUUAAUGAAUCCUCUACUUAUCUGUCUAUCUCCUGGUGGCCAUCUUCUCCAAGAAGAACCGCUAUUCUUCCCAUUGCCACUAGCCAGUUACAUCCAAAGGAUCAAGAACUUCUGAACCUCUUGAAUUCAAGUUGGCCUCCAAGUCUGGCUAUAUCCAUCUAGGUGUUAAUGCUCAUGCAUCUAAAAUCAGGAAAGAAUAAACAUAAAGCAAAUGGGUCAGGGAUGAGACUGAAGAAGACAAAGAAAAGUUUCUAUUUAUAUUUAAACAAAAUAUUGUUGCUCUAGCCAAAAGCAUCCGUGUAAACAGUCCAGAUGAAGUGGCUUUGGUACCACUCAGUCAGUGCAGUGUCUGGAGGCAGAGAAACACUGCAGCUGCCCAUUGAAGUGUGCCCAGGAAACCAGUGGCCAGAUAUGUUCAACAGUGAUGCCAUAUCCUGAGAUGAGCCCAGUAGCCAACCUACUAGCCCAGCCUGGCUUGGCAGCAGUGACCCAACAACUAGCCUAGUGCAAUAGCAUUAGAGCCUGGUAAUGGAGACAUUUCAGUCUGUAAAUGAUUGUCUUUGACAUCACCCUGUAAAGAGGCCAUAGCAACCUUGCAAGCCUCUAUUGAUGAGUUGUCUUGGCCCCUAUCCAUGUGCCUUACUACUAUUGUAGUUUAAGUUCAUGCCCACUCUUUCCUACCUCCUGAACUCUAGGAGUAUUUGCAGAAGGGCAUAAUGUUGGGGAAUAUGUCCUUAAUUUACUUGUAAUGCCAUUUGAAUAAAUGCCUUUGGUAAAGAACAAACUGAACCUACUAGCUGAUUAUUAGGAGUAGCACAAUGAUGGGGGCUUGUGAGCUAGCCUUUAGAGAAAGUUUUCACAGGUUUAUCUCCAGGACUUAGAACAUCAGAGCAGCCUUCCUUUCAGGGACCCAAACCUGCUCUUGGCUGUGAGUUGGGCAAGGGAUCUUUGAGGCUGUCAUUAAACUCUACAUCCCCAGAACAUAGCAUAGAGCCUGGCAUAGAGAAAGUACUUAAUACAUUUACUUCCACCUUAGCAUCACUUUUGAAUUAAAAUGAAUGUCUGCCAGCAAACUGCAUAUUCCUUGAGCAACUGCCUCAGGGUUUUUAACCACAGGUUUCUCAGAGCAUAGUAAGCAACCUUGGGGCCAUCUCCACUAUCUCCCUGAAAAGGAAACUGAGGCCAAGAGAGAGUUAGAGCCUUGCCCAUCAGCGGUAUAGCCAUAAAUGUCUGAGGCAGACAAACUCGAGAAAUAGGUGAGGGAAAGGGGAAAGGCACCUAGGGCUCCACGAUGCAGAUCAGUUUUUCCGAUGUAAAGUAGAGUAUAUACAUAUUUUAUAACUGGGAGAAAGGAAACUAAGCUAUUUUCAUUGUA